UACCGGCAGCUCGAGUGAUAGCCACUAUUAUUGGGCCUAAAGCGUCCGUAGCCGGCCGAACAGGUCCGUCGGGAAAUCCACCCGCUCAACGGGUGGACGUCCGGCGGAAACCAGUCGGCUUGGGGCCGGGAGACCAGAGAGGUACGUCCGGGGUAGGGGUGAAAUCCGGUAAGCCGGGAGGGACCGCCGGUAGCGAAAGCGUCUCCGGAGAACGGACCCGACGGUGAGGGACGAAAGCUUGGGUCUCGAACCGG
rnacentral:rRNA from 1 species